ensembl:rRNA 5S_rRNA 5S ribosomal RNA
GCUUACGACCACACCGGCCUGAGUACGCCUGAUCUCGGAAGCUAAGCAAGGUCAGGCCUGGUUAGUACUUGGAUGGGAGACCGCCUGGGAAUACCAGGUGCUGUAAGCU